rnacentral:lncRNA from 1 species
UAAUAAAGCAAAUGACCAAGAAACAACUUUUAUAUUAAUCAGGAUUCGUUUUUAAGUUGAAGUGACCAAAAUACAACUCAAACUAACUCAAGCAAAAAAGAAAUAGGUACUGGGGAGAGGGGACAGUAGGGGAACAGGCUCCCACAUACUGAGAUCUGGGAACACAAAGGGAAGUUAUCAGGUCUCUCUCCCUCUCAGCUCUGCUUCUUUCAGUGUGGUGGCCUCAUUCUUUCUAACUGAAGAACGAUCUUUACUGCAGAAAAUUCUAAGCAUUAUUGUGGCAGAUCCAGUAAGUCCCAGAGAAGGAUUCUGAUUGGUCCUGCUUCAGUCACAUGCUUGCAUCUUAGUCCAAUCACUGUGGCCUGGAGGAUGGGACACCAUGAUUUGCAAGACUCUGGUCACAUGCCCACACCUGUGGCUUCUGAAGCAGAGCACCAGCAGUGACAGUCCCACCAGAACCGCAUGGAAUAGAAAACUGUGCAUUUCCCUAAGGAAAGGGAAUGCCAGAGAAGGGCAGAAGGGAAAUCAGGAAGACAAAACGGUAAAUUACCUACCACAAAUCCAAUUCAUUGGUAUUUUUCCACUUACACUUAACCAAGCAACGAUUUCUCCUGGUCCCAUAAUGGAAAAGAGGGUUUAUCUAGAUUCAUAUAUACAAGACUGAAGAGUGAAGAGAGACCCAGAGAAUGUUCUAAAAUCUGCCAGUUAGCAUAAUCACACAGAGAAAUCUCUGCUUCCAGAGGAGGAGCCAAGUUCAAGUCAGAGGUGAGGAAUGCCAACAGGAAAGCUCACUUUCUCCGGGGAUAUUCAGGCCAACACUAGGAAACCACAGCCAAGUCAGGCAGGGCUUGGGGCGGAACUGCUGACACCUCCACCCUAGCCAAUCCAAGGUGCACGCCUGCCUCAUGCAGCCCAGCGUGACUCCCGCCAUUGGCACACUGUGCCCAUCACAGGCUGGAGCUCCUUUCCUCCACCGUCUUCCCAACUCCUGCCAACCAGAACUUAACUACUCCUUUGGAUUCUGCUUUUCACUUGUUCUUCAUCAGACUAUGGAAGCUUAGACUUCAUAAUUUGGCUGAGACUUCAAAAAUAGUUUUAAAGAAAGCUAUUCCCACCCUGCUAAAUGUCUUCAUGUUGGAGUGGACCUUUCCUCUAUCUGUCAACAGAAUGGAUAAAUUGUGGAAGAGUAAUAUCAGAAUACUACACAUCAGUAAAAAACAACAAACUUCUGCUACAAACAAUCAACAUCGAUGAAUCUUUCAGGCAAAAGGGCAAAGAAAAGUAUUGGUCUUCCAAAACAAAUAGAGGACGGAGCUGCUGCUGUUGCAUGGUGUCUAGAAACUCAGACAACUUCAUCAUUCCAUAUUUGCAUCCAAGAGAGAGAAAGAAAAACUACAAUCAUUUUCCAUUUACCCAUCAACCCAUCAACCUCCAAAUAAAGGCUAUUAAAAAACAAUCAAAGUGUGAAGAGGGCAGAAAAUGUGAUGAAGAGAUUCUUUGGAGAAAGUAGCUGCCACUGUUACCUUGGGAUCUGCCUAUAGUCCUCACAGAGCUUGCCCUUGCAGGAUAGAACAUAGGAGUCUGGGAGUCUGCAAGAAGAGACAGGGUCUCACUAUGUUGCCCCAGUUGGCCUUGAA